GUCAGGUUGGCCGAGCGGUUUAAGGCGUCGGGCUUAAGUUCUGAUUCCCUCUGGGAUCGCAGGUUCGAAUCCUGCACCUGACG